GACAAAAUAUGGAAAUGUUCGAGGGGUGUGAAUACUUUUUCAAGCUGAUGUAGAUGCCAAAAUGUGAAAAGUUACAAGAGAGUGUCAGAAGUAAGGAACCGGUGCGAUGCGUUUAGGGUCUCUGUGCUGCUGGAUGAUGAACCGACUCACCACAGUUUCUGUUUGUGGUGAAGAGAAGCAUCCCCACAGGAUGACGCUGCCGCCACCAUGUUUUGGGGUAUCAUGUCGGUUUCUGAGCAUCAGUCUGCACAAUGGACGUGUAAAGGAUGACGGCGGGGAAACCUCUCUCUCGAGUGAAAUCCGCCACCGUCUGACAC